UGCGCGGCUUGUGUUAAAUGGAAUCGGAAGCCGGGCUUGGGUCACCAGACGCGUUGAUCCGCUGGAGCCGCUACGCUUCCCCCCAAAAACCCCCUGGCUCCCGAGAGCAACGGCAGGGGGUGGGGAAUGCCUCGGUGGCCUUCGGACCCCGCUUGGGUGCGGUGGUCUGCCGCCCGAGUUAUCUGCAUCAGACAGAUGCGGGGCCUCCCGGCGGCGGGCGCGCGUCCCGCCCGAAAGGAAGGGGCGAAGGCUUCCGAAAGCUGGUUUGGCUGCUUCGGUGCCAGCGAAAUUUUGAUCAGGAAAAAUUAUUUUUGCUUCUCACUUCGGUAAAACCCAAGAACAAAGGGAGCUUGCUUUUAAACAAUAAGCGUUGCCCAACAGUCGUGGAUGUUGAUCUUGGGCCCUUGUUCAUCACCCAGGCCGUGUCUCCGGCUUGGACAUCGGAGUUCCCGCGUGGCUGGGUCUCCGACGCCGGAAUCAUGGGGAUGAGGGGACUUCUGGGGUUGGUCCCUGUCUUGUCCCUUGCAGCUGCCAACGCCCACGUGGAAACCCAAAGCGCAGAAGCACCGCGGAGCGCGCCCCUCCAGCAGCGAGGUCCCCUCUCGAUCUCAGACGCCCAGAGGUCCGGAUGCCAGAGGAUCACACCUAGUCCACUUCCCCCAACCCCUCGCCCACCCCAUAGAGGGGGUCCCUGGUGCACUAGCUUGCAUGGGGGACCACAGAACAGUUUCUCCUGCAGGGAGAACCUGCAGCUUCUGGAACUCUGGUUUGGACAAGUGCCCCUUCUCUCUGCACCUCCCAGAGAGAAGGGCCAGGAGUCUGGGACAGAAAACUGAAUGCUUUCUGCCCACUGCUCCUUAGGUCCUUGGACCCAGCCAGCCCUGCAGCGGCUCUUGCAUCUACUCCUGUUAGCCCCAGGUUCCUAUAGGUCUUAGGUGGCUUUCCCACCCUGAGCUUCAGACAACUGCCUGAGCAGCCCACAUUCUACACUCACGACUUACCCAUCCCAGGGCUGGAGGACCCAGGGCAGUCAGUAUGGGAGGCCUGAGGACCUCCACAAGCUCAAGGCUUGCUUCUGCCUCAAGCCACCAACUGGAAGGUUUCCUUUUCUCGUGGAGGACCAAUUCCCCAACAUCCAGCAACCAAAGCCCAGCUGAGUGAUCUGAAAUGCAGAGAGAAGGCCCACAUAUAACUGACAGUCAAGACUGAACUCCUAUCCCUCUGGCCUCAAGUCCACACUCACAACAACUGGAGCUACUAGAAAAUGC